rnacentral:rRNA from 1 species
ACCUUCUGGGAUAGCCUUUCGAAAGAAAGAUUAAUACCGGAUAGCAUACGAAUAUCGCAUGAUAUUUUUAUUAAAGAAUUUCGGUUAUCGAUGGGGAUGCGUUCCAUUAGUUUGUUGGCGGGGUAACGGCCCUCCAAGACUACGAUGGAUAGGGGUUCUGAGAGGAAGGUCCCCCACAUUGGAACUGAGACACGGUCCAA